GUGGGGAAUAUUGGACAAUGGGGGAAACCCUGAUCCAGCGACGCCGCGUGAGUGAAGAAGUAUUUCGGUAUGUAAAGCUCUAUCAGCAGGGAAGAAAAUGACGGUACCUGACUAAGAAGCCCCGGCUAACUACGUGCCAGCAGCCGCGGUAAUACGUGGGGGGCAAGCGUUAUCCGGAUUUACUGGGUGUAAAGGGAGCGUAGACGGCACUGCAAGUCUGGAGUGAAAGCCCGGGGCUCAACCCCGGGACUGCUUUGGAAACUGUGGUGCUGGAGUGCAGGAGAGGUAAGUGGAAUUCCUAGUGUAGCGGUGAAAUGCGUAGAUAUUAGGAGGAACACCAGUGGCGAAGGCGGCUUACUGGACUGUAACUGACGUUGAGGCUCGAAAGCGUGGGGAGCAAACAGGAUUAGAUACCCGGGUAGUCC
rnacentral:rRNA from 1 species